rnacentral:tRNA from 1 species
AGCGGGAUGGGAUAGUCAGGAGAUUCCGUGGGGCUCAUAACCCUGAGACCGGUGGUUCAAAUCCACCUCCCGCUA